GAUGAACGCUAGCUACAGGCUUAACACAUGCAAGUCGAGGGGCAGCAUCAUCAAAGCUUGCUUUGAUGGAUGGCGACCGGCGCACGGGUGAGUAACACGUAUCCAACCUGCCGACAACACUGGGAUAGCCUUUCGAAAGAAAGAUUAAUACCGGAUGGUAUAGUUUUCCCGCAUGGGAUGAUUAUUAAAGAAUUUCGGUUGUCGAUGGGGAUGCGUUCCAUUAGGCAGUUGGCGGGGUAACGGCCCACCAAACCUACGAUGGAUAGGGGUUCUGAGAGGAAGGUCCCCCACAUUGGAACUGAGACACGGUCCAAACUCCUACGGGAGGCAGCAGUGAGGAAUAUUGGUCAAUGGACGAGAGUCUGAACCAGCCAAGUAGCGUGAAGGAUGACUGCCCUAUGGGUUGUAAACUUCUUUUAUACGGGAAUAAAGUGAGCCACGUGUGGCUUUUUGUAUGUACCGUAUGAAUAAGGAUCGGCUAACUCCGUGCCAGCAGCCGCGGUAAUACGGAGGAUCCGAGCGUUAUCCGGAUUUAUUGGGUUUAAAGGGAGCGUAGGCGGGUUGUUAAGUCAGUUGUGAAAGUUUGCGGCUCAACCGUAAAAUUGCAGUUGAUACUGGCGACCUUGAGUGCAACAGAGGUAGGCGGAAUUCGUGGUGUAGCGGUGAAAUGCUUAGAUAUCACGAAGAACUCCGAUUGCGA
rnacentral:rRNA from 1 species